rnacentral:rRNA from 1 species
CCAAUAGCGUAUAUUAAAGUUGUUGCAGUUAAAAAGCUCGUAGUUGAACCUCGGGGUCUACCCAUUGGUCAGGCUUAAUUGUCUGCACUGGUGAGAUGGAUCUCUACCUUCUGAGGAACUUUCAUGCCAUUUAUUUGGUGUGAUGGGAAAUCAGGACUGUUACUUUGAAAAAAUUAGAGUGUUUAAAGCAGACUAUCGUCUGAAUACAUUAGCAUGGAAUAAUGAAAUAGGACGGACUGAUUCUAUUUCGUUGGUUUCUAGGAUCACCGUAAUGAUUAAGAGGGAUAGUUGGGGGCAUUAGUAUUCAAUUGUCAGGGGUGAAAUUCUUGGAUUUAUUGAAGACUAACUACUGCGAAAGCAUUUGCCAAGGAUGUUUUCAUUAAUCAAGAACGAAAGUUAGGGGAUCGAAGACGAUCAGAUACCGUCGUAGUCUUAACCAUAAACUAUGCCGACUAGGGAUCGGAUGAUGUUAUUUUUAAUGACUCAUUCGGCGCCUUACG